rnacentral:piRNA from 1 species
UAACUGAUUCGCAUCCUGCAA